GCGCUGUGGUUGCUAGGUGCUGUUCAGGUCUAGCUUUCCAGUAGAUGGAAUGAGCCAGAGCAAUAAUGUGAUGUGUGCAUGGGGGCUGCUCUUUUCAGGAGCCUCUUCAACCCCGUCACUGGUACAUGG